rnacentral:lncRNA from 1 species
ACAGUAAGAUCAUAGCUUCAGGACCUAAGUAGCUCCUGGGGAUGGGAAAGAGAUGACUGACUGAGGUGGUUGAUGGGAUUCUUACAGGACCCCACUGGAAAUCGGACUGUUCAACUCACCUGGCAUCCACUCCCAGAGCCCCUGGAACUCUGGCCCAAGGCUCUCUGACUGACUUCUUCCCAGAUCUUCUCGGCUUAGCAGCUGAAGACUGACGCUGCCCGAUUGCCUCAGAAGCCCCGUAGACCAUCAUGGACGCCGAGCUUUAGCAACAAAGCACCAUCUUGGAAGCAGAGAGCCACCCUCACCAGAACUGAAUGCAGGCACCGUGACCUUGAACUUCCCAGCCUCCAGAACUUGCUGCCAGGACCUGCAGAACUCCAGAUGGAUUCCCCUGGCUGACACUUGAAAGAUUUUUGCUCUAACUUAAUAGAAAUGACAGACUGGCAAAGCCAUAGUUAAAUCAGCUGGAGGAGCCACAAAUCAAAUCAUCUUUACAGAAAGAUGUGAGUGCACAUGGAAAUUUAUGGAGUCUCUCAGCAUUGUAGAAGAGCCUCUGUUUCUUCUCACUGGUUCCUGUCCUCCUCAGCUUGGUAUAUAACUCCUGAGGGCUGAAUACCUGGUUGCUGAAGGAUCCAGUCCCUGCCCUAUAACCGAGGAAGAAUUUCUACUUCCCCUUCCUGUCCAGAAGUGAUAUUCCCAGAUGAAGUGAGAAAUUAUAUGCUCUCUGGGAAAUGGCUAUCUGCAAAGACUUGUGGCAUUCUACUUUCUGGAUAUAUUGCCUUAUGUCUGGCAAACUGUACUGAUUAAAACUUUGAACAGAAGAAGGAAAAACUAAUUUGGAAGGGCUAAUCAAGACUCUCCAUAGUCCAAAAGGGAUGAUUUCUCAGUUGUGCAGAGAACCAAUAAACCUCCAUCCUGAGGACAAAAGUAAUUUUGUGAAACUGCAUGAAGUUUCUCUAGAGAGAGAGACUUCACAAAGCCCAGUGGUCACAGCUGUGCAGUGGAACCGAACUACUUUGAAUCUCUGCCAUCAAAGGAAAGAAUCUCAGGAUUUUCUGCUACAGAAGCAUGAUCGUGUUUAAAUUCUUAAAAUGCUGCAUUAGCAAGAAUUCUCCACAGAAACAGACUCUCUCUCUAGAGUUGAGAGAGAGAGAGAGUUAAUAUAGGAAUUGGCUCAUGGGACAAUGGAGGCCAAGAAGUUCCAGAAUCUGAUGUCUGCAAGCCAGCAAACAAAGCCAAUAAUGUAAUUUAGUCUGAGUUCAAAGGCCCAAGAAUGGAGGUACUGAUGGUAUAAUUCCUGAUCUGAGUCUAAAGGCCCAAGAACCAGGAACACUCAUGUUAACAGAAAAUGAAUAGGCCAGGUGCAGUGGCUCACACCUGUAAUCCCAGCACUUUGGGUGGCUGAGGCCGGCAGAUCCAUCGAGGUCAGGAGUUUGAGACCAGCCUGACCAACAUGGUGAAACCCUGUCUCUACUAAAAAUACAAAAAUUAGCUAGAUAUGGUGGUGU